rnacentral:rRNA from 1 species
UACGUAGGGCGCAAGCGUUUGUCCGGAAUUAUUGGGCGUAAAGAGCUCGUAGGCGGUUUGUCGCGUCUGCUGUGAAAACUGGAGGCUCAACCUCCAGCCUGCAGUGGGUACGGGCAAACUAGAGUGCGGUAGGGGAGAUUGGAAUUCCUGGUGUAGCGGUGGAAUGCGCAGAUAUCAGGAGGAACACCGAUGGCGAAGGCAGAUCUCUGGGCCGUAACUGACGCUGAGGAGCGAAAGCAUGGGGAGCGAACAGG